GAUGAACGCUGGCGGCGUGCUUAACACAUGCAAGUCGAACGGAAAGGCCCAAGCUUGCUUGGGUACUCGAGUGGCGAACGGGUGAGUAACACGUGGGUGAUCUGCCCUGCACUUCGGGAUAAGCCUGGGAAACUGGGUCUAAUACUGGAUAGGACCACUUCUUGGAUGUUGUGGUGGAAAGUUUUUUCGGUGUGGGGUGAGCUCGCGGCCUAUCAGCUUGUUGGUGGGGUAAUGGCCUACCAAGGCGUCGACGGGUAGCCGGCCUGAGAGGGUGUACGGCCACAUUGGGACUGAGAUACGGCCCAGACUCCUACGGGAGGCAGCAGUGGGGAAUAUUGCACAAUGGGCGCAAGCCUGAUGCAGCGACGCCGCGUGGGGGAUGACGGCCUUCGGGUUGUAAACUCCUUUCGCUAGGGACGAAGCGUUUUGUGACGGUACCUGGAGAAGAAGCACCGGCUAACUACGUG
rnacentral:rRNA from 1 species